rnacentral:lncRNA from 10 species
UUUAACCCAGAAGGAGAGGGCAGCAGCUUCUAAAAUUUAGCCUCACCUUGACCAUCUCCAGGGACAGAGAAUUCAUUACCUACAUGGGGUUUGAGCCAGCUGAAACAGAGAAGAACAGGUCCCAGCUGGCCCCAGCACAUCACUGGCUGAAUCCAUGGUCUGGUCUUAGUCACUGCUCUGAUUCUAACCUGCCCUAUACAUUCUGGCUUGGUUUCCACAUCUACACAACAGAAGUAAGAACAGCUGUCUUCACAUGCCCCACAGAGGUCAUCAGUUCUAAAGAGACAGGGGCCCAGAAGAGAAGCCGGCAGCUCAUCCUUCACAUGACUGUUUAAGCCUGGACCAGGAAGAGGAACAACUGUACAUACACACGGGUCAUCACAGGCAAGAUCCUGAUGGCAGUCUAGCAUGAUGCGCUCACACAGUAGGUGCUUAAUGCAUAAAAUUGUUUAAUUUAUUUUCUUUUCUUUUUUCUUUUUUCCUUUUUUUUUUUUUAUGUUCUAUAUUAUUUAUUGGUUAUGCAUUUUUUCAUAUUUAUCAUUCCAACAGCCCUAUGGGUAGGCACUAUUCUUACUCCCAUUUUACAGAUGACAACUGAAACUUCAAGAGGGGAGGAGUUUCUUCAGUGAUGGAGCUGAGCUCGGGUCAGGUCGCCUUGAUGCCAAGGUCAGUGUUUGCUUCAUGGAGUCAGGCCUGGUAGGGGAGGCAUGCCGGUUAAAGGAGGCACUCCAUUAGAAGGUCCUUCGGAAAUCAUCCUGGAGCAAAAGCAUUUGUUAUGGUUCCAACAGGGUGUAUGAAACUUGUCCUUAUUGGAUCUUUGCUUCCUCUUCUGUAAAUUGGGAAUUCCUUCUCGACCUACUUUGCAGAGGUCCGACAGCAUUGUUGGUAUGCAAAGCACGGCAGCCUCCUCCCAGGAGUUGGGGCAGCAGCAGCAGAGAGGGAGCCAGGAAUUCAGAGGGAAAGCAGGACCUGCAGGAUGGCCCCUGGGAUCACAUUCGGGACUUCUGACUUCUGGAGAAGACUGCACCCCAGGUGGCCAGGGACAAGGCCAGCCUGAUAUUAGGGUGUCACCAGGUUCUGAGGCAAAGUUGGUAGAGUUUCUUUCACUUUCUCCCUCCAUGCCUUUGCUCCCUCCUCUCUGUCCACCUGGCUCUCCCUGACACUGCUAUCUUGGUCCAGGUGCAAAU